rnacentral:lncRNA from 1 species
AGGUCGGUUCGAUUGGGAUAUUGAGUUCAUGCACGAGUGAACUCAUGUGGUUUAAAGUCAUUCGAGCCAUUGCAGUCAAAGUGUACAGUAGCAUUUUGCAAAAUAAAUAAUAUUAUUAAUCAUAUUAUUUAUUUUCAGAUUUGUGGACCACAAGUAUGGGGAACCAGUACAGGCUGCUUAAUAGCUAUAUAUUUAUAUGAACUUUCAACAAUAUUAUACUCAUAUUUAUAAUAAAAUGUGCGCUUGUCUCUGCAAGUGGCGUCUCCCAUGUAAGAGUUUGUGGUUAUUUGAUAAAUAUUUUAUGUUCGUUUGAGUUUACGAAUUAGAAUUUAA